rnacentral:rRNA from 1 species
AGAGUUUGAUCCUGGCUCAGGAUGAAUGACUGGCGGCGCACUUAAGACAUGCAAGUCGAACGGAAAUUUAUUUGAAGUUUACUUUAGAUAAAUUUUAGUGGCGGACGGGUGAGUAAUACGUAGGCAACCUGCCUCAAAGAGAGGAAUAACUGGGAGAAAUUUCAGCUAAUACCUCAUAAGACCACACUGCGGCAUCGCAGAGGGGUCAAAGGAGCAAUCCGCUUUGAGAUGGGCCUACGGCUGAUUAGUUUGUUGGUGGGGUAACGGCCUACCAAGACUAUGAUCAGUAGCCGGGCUGAGAGGCUGGCCGGCCACAUUGGGACUGAGACACGGCCCAGACUCCUACGGGAGGCAGCAGUCGGGAAUAUUGGACAAUGGGGGAAACCCUGAUCCAGUGACGCCGCGUGAAGGAAGAAGGUCUUCGGAUUGUAAACUUAUUUUAUUAGGGAAGAAACAAAUGACUGUACCUAAAGAAAAAGCACCGGCUAACUACGUGCCAGCAGCCGCGGUAAUACGUAGGGUGCAAGCGUUAUCCGGAUUUACUGGGUGUAAAGGGCGAGUAGACGGGAGAUUAAGUCAGAUGUGAAAACUUAGGGCUCAACCUUAAGACUGCAUCUGAAACUGGUUUUCUUGAGUGCUGGAGAGGUAAGCGGAAUUCCUAGUGUAGCGGUGAAAUGUGUAGAUAUUAGGAAGAACACCAGUGGCGAAGGCGGCUUACUGGACAGUAACUGACGUUGAGGAGCGAAAGUGUGGGGAGCAAACAGGAUUAGAUACCCUGGUAGUCCACACUGUAAACGAUGGAUACUAGGUGUUGGCAAGCGAUUGUCAGUGCCGGCGCUAACGCAAUAAGUAUCCCACCUGGGGAGUACGACCGCAAGGUUGAAACUCAAAGGAAUUGACGGGGGCCCGCACAAGCAGUGGAGUAUGUUGUUUAAUUCGACGCAACGCGAAGAACCUUACCAAGACUUGACAUAUACAGGAAUAGUUAAGAAAUUAGCUAGUUCUUCGGAACUUGUAUACAGGUGAUGCAUGGUUGUCGUCAGCUCGUGUCGUGAGAUGUUGGGUUAAGUCCCGCAACGAGCGCAACCCUCGUGACUAGUUGCCACUAUUUAGUUAGGGAACUCUAAUCAGACUGCCGUGGAUAACACGGAGGAAGGUGAGGAUGACGUCAAAUCAUCACGUCCCUUAUGUCUUGGGCUACAAACGUACUACAAUGGCUAUAACAAAGAGAAGCGAAUCCGCGAGGAGGAGCAAAACUGAUAAAAAUAGUCUCAGUUCGGAUUGCAGGCUGAAACUCGCCUGCAUGAAGCUGGAGUUACUAGUAAUCGCAGAUCAGAAUGCUGCGGUGAAUACGUUCCCGGGCCUUGUACUCACCGCCCGUCA